UACGUAGGGGGGCUAGCGUUGUCCGGAAUCAUUGGGCGUAAAGCGCGUGUAGGCGGUUCGGUAAGUCCGCUGUGAAAUCCCCCGGGCUCAACCCGGGAACUGCGUCCGAUACUGGCAGGCUUGAAUCCGGGAGAGGGAUGCGGAAUUCCAGGUGUAGCGGUGAAAUGCGUAGAUAUCUGGAGGAACACCGGUGGCGAAGGCGGCAUCCUGGACCAACACUGACACUGAGGAGCGAAAGCCAGGGGAGCAAACGGG
rnacentral:rRNA from 1 species